rnacentral:rRNA from 1 species
AUUGAACGCUGGCGGCAGGCCUAACACAUGCAAGUCGAACGGUAACAGGAAGAAUCUUGCUUCUUUGCUGACGAGUGGCGGACGGGUGAGUAAUGUCUGGGAAACUGCCUGAUGGAGGGGGAUAACUACUGGAAACGGUAGCUAAUACCGCAUAACGUCGCAAGACCAAAAAGGGGGACCUUCGGGCCUCUUGCCAUCGGAUGUGCCCAGGUGGGAUUAGCUAGUAGGUGGGGUAACGGCUCACCUAGGCGACGAUCCCUAGCUGGUCUGAGAGGAUGAACCGCCAGCCUGGAAGUGAGGCAGGGCCCCGACUCCUACGGGGGGACGCAGUGGGGAAUAUUGCACGAUGGGGGAAAGGCUGAUGCAGCCAAGUCGGGGGUAUGAAGAAGGCCCUCGGGUUGGUAAGGAAUUUAAGCCGGGAGGAAGGGAGUAAAGUUAAUACCUUUGCUCAUUGACGUUACCCGCAGAAGAAGCACCGGCUAACUCCGUG